UCCACGUAGGCUGGGAUUACACGCAAAUUCAAUGGUUGAUUGAACCUCUUUGGUAACUGGGUAUCUGUGUAUUCGCGACAAACGUUACAGAAGGUUAAACCAAAUAACCCAGCCUUUUUUCGGUCUGCCUGUUAGCGGUAUUUACCAUUUGGAGUUACGGAAAAAAGGAGUUACGGUAUUACUAAGCGGUCUGUCACCUGGGCUGUCUGUCCAGAACAGUGGGUUAGUUGUUAGUGGUUAGCGAGAGAGA
rnacentral:misc_RNA from 1 species